CAAGUAAGCUGGACAGCCGCGCAGGCGGGGCGAAAGGCCCGUCUGUGAGGAAAGUCCGGGCUCCGUAGGGCAAGGAUAACGGGUAACACCCGCCGGGGGCGACCCUAGGAAAAGUGCAACAGAGAUAUACCGCCCCGCCGGUGUAAAACGACUGUUUUGCGCCGGCGAGGUAAGGGUGGAAAGGUGAGGUAAGAGCUCACCCGACGGCUGGGAACAGUCCGCCGCUGUAAACUCUAUCCGGAGCAACGCCGUGGAGGGACAUAGAGCCGGCCCGGCUGUCCCAGGGAGGCGGCUUGAGCGUAUCGGCAACGGUGCGUCGAGAUAGAUGGCUGUCUUAAAAGACAGAACCCGGCUUACAGGCUUACUUGCAAA
rnacentral:RNase_P_RNA from 1 species